rnacentral:rRNA from 1 species
GGUCAAGCUAAUAAGGGCAGAAGGCGGAUGCCUUGGCACCAGGAGUCGAUGAAGGACGUGGUAAGCUGCGAUAAGCCUCGGGGAGAUGCAAGCAAUCUUUGAUCCGGGGAUUUCCGAAUGGGGAAACCUACUUAGGUUAAUACCUAAGUAUCUAUUACUCAAUCAAUAGGUAAUAGAAGACAUACCAGGGGAACUGAAACAUCUAAGUACCCUGAGGAAGAGAAAGAAAAAUCGAUUCCCUAAGUAGCGGCGAGCGAAAGGGGAUAAGCCCAAACCGAUAGGGUUUUCUCUAUCGGGGUUGUGGACCGGUCAUAUAUGAGGACUCAUCGUAAUAGAAGAGGUUUGGAAAGACUCACCAUAGAAGGUAAUAGUCCUGUACAUGAAACGAUGAUAUUCUAGACCGUGAUCCAGAGUACCACGAGGCACGUGAAACCUUGUGGGAAGCAGGGGGGACCACCCCCCAAGGCUAAAUACUACCUGGUGACCGAUAGCGCAUAGUACCGUGAGGGAAAGGUGAAAAGAACCCCGGAAGGGGAGUGAAAUAGAACCUGAAACCUUCUGCUUACAAACUGUGGGAGCACUUUUUAUGUGUGACCGCGUACUUUUUGUAGAACGGGCCAACGAGUUACGGUAUGGAGCAAGGUUAAGCACCUAUGGUGCGAAGCCGUAGGGAAACCGAGUCUUAAUAGGGCGUCUAGUUUCAUGCCGUAGACCCGAAACCGGGCGACCUACCCAUGGUCAGGAUGAAGCGGAAGUAAAAUUUCGUGGAGGUCCGAACCGAUUGACGUUGAAAAGUCACCGGAUGAACUGUGGGUAGCGGUGAAAUUCCAAUCGAGCCCGGAGAUAGCUGGUUCUCGCCGAAAUAGCUUUAGGGCUAGCCUCGAGGUUAAGAGAUACGGAGGUAGAGCACUGAAUGGUCUAGGGGCCUUCACCGGUUACCAAAACCUAUCAAACUCCGAAUGCCGUUAUCUUUUACUCGGGAGUCAGACUACGAGUGAUAAGAUCCGUAGUCAAGAGGGAAAGAGCCCAGACCAUCAGCUAAGGUCCCAAAGUAUACGUUAAGUGGAAAAGGAUGUGGAGUUGCAUAGACAACCAGGAUGUUGGCUUAGAAGCAGCCAUUCAUUCAAAGAGUGCGUAAUAGCUCACUGGUCGAGUGAUUCUGCGCCGAAAAUGUCCGGGGCUCAAACGUAUCACCGAAGCUAUGGAUCCGUAAGGAUGGUAGGCGAGCGUUCUAUAUAGGUUGAAGCUGUACCGGAAGGAGCAGUGGACUGUAUAGAAGUGAGAAUGUUGGCAUGAGUAACGAGAGGCAGGUGAGAAUCCUGCCCGUCGAAAACCUAAGGUUUCCUGAGGAAGGCUCGUCCGCUCAGGGUUAGUCGGGACCUAAGCCCAGGCCGAAAGGCGUAGGCGAUGGACAACAGGUUGAAAUUCCUGUACCACCUAGAAUCGUUUGAGAGAUGGAGUGACACAGUAGGAUAGGCUCAGCGCACCGUUGGUUGUGUGCGUCUAAGCUGGUAGGGAGUUAAAAGAGGCAAAUCCCUUUUAACUUAAUCCUGAGAAGUGAUGGGGAGCGAAAUUUAAGUAGCGAACUGGCUGAUUCCACACUGU